UUGCCAAACGAAGAAGCCACUUGAUUACGGAAUGAAUGUGCUAACGGUAAACGGUAAAAGUUUAUGGUAAACUAAGGAAAUUAAGGCAACAAAGCAGAAACGGCACCUUAACGAUAUAAACGUCAAAGGCUGAGUUUAUUUUUGACAAACCCCCGAGGAGGCACAAGUUCUCACGUUGGUUUAUGGAGCUGAUUUUCUGAAACAGCAAUAAAUAUUAAAACCAUCAGUCGAGUCUCUUACCAUCUUUAGGAGGGUAUGUCACAGAUAUGACUAAAGAUAUAAAGCAUAUUGGGCUGCUGACAGGUCUGAGAUAUCAGCACCAAUUUUCUCCCAUGGGCGGUUUGGCAGGGGAGUGGUUAGAAGCGGCUCCUUCCUCUGGAGUCCAUCUUGGUUUGGGAGAGUGGCCAUGCACCGCUGACAGCAUUCACAAAAGACUUCACCUCUUGGACUAAUUCUGAGACCUCUGCUGAAAUGGUGAUCUGAGGGUGUCGCGACAGCGUGUCGGCGACCACCAGUUGUUUACCCGGUACAUACUGUGCCUCAGGAUUGUAUCGCAUCAUUCGCAAUAACAGUCUUUGACAUCUCAGGGGAACUGCAUCAAGAUAUUUUGCAUUGAUCAACGGAAUGAGUUACAACGGAAUGCCCCCCAGACCAUAACUGCUGGCAUCUGUGCUGACAACUGUGGGCUUUGUGACAUCAUAGCACGCUAACACAGGAGCUUCAGUGAUUACUCGUUUAACGUUAUUAAACGCCUCCUCUUGCACAUGACCCCAGUACCAUAUGACAUCACGUUUCAACAGCUCGUUGAGAGGUCGGUUGACAAAACUUCCAAACUGUACUGCUUAUCUCUGUAUACUGUGAUGACUCUGAACUGUCCUCUGCAGUGCAAUGUACCCCCUGGGCUCUCAAGUUUCACAUUUUCAUUUUUGAGUUUUGGCUUGUACUUCAGAACAGAGAAGGUUUUCUCAGAAAUUACACUUAUGUCAGUGCCUGUACCUUGAAAUGGAAGUGUGACCAUCCAUGCUUCAUUUACAUCAUCAAUUUGAGUCAACUCAUAAAGGAAGUGUGUGACGUUGCUGCCCUCUGGUGAUUUGGUGACUUCAUGGACUGCUCGGGUUCUACAAACUGCAGCAAAGUGACCCUUUUUUCUGCAUUUGCGACAUUCAGCACUUUUUUCUGGGCAUAUUUCCCCUCUUCCAUGAUUUCUUCUACAUCUUUUACAUCUCCGUUCUGUUGCCUGCUCAGUUUGAUUUCGUUUUGAGCCUAUAUAUGCUGUCUACGUCUUUCACUUUGUAAGAACUCGAGCUGCCGCGUUUUGGACCAGUUGGAGUUUUUGUAAUAAGCCUACAGGGAAACCACCUAACAGUGCAUUACAGUAAUCUAGUCUUGAUGUCAUGAAUGCAUGAAUGAUCUUCUCUGCAUCUGCAUCUGACAGUGACAGUAUAUGACAUAGUUUAGAUAUAUUCUUAAAAUGGAAAAACGCAAUUUUACAGGUGUUGGCGACACGGCUCUCAAAUGACAGAUUACUAUCGAAUCGAACGCCAAGAUUCUUAGCUGACGAUGAGGGUUUUAUGGAACAUCCAUCAAUAGUUAAACAGUAUUCUUGGUUGUUACGUAUGGCAGUUUUCGGUCCAAUAAGUUGUUUUGUCCGAGUUCAGUAAUAAAAAGUUGUUACUCAUCCAGUUUUUUAUGCAUUCCAUUAUUCGAUGGAACUGCUGUGUUUCAUGAGGCUUCGAAGAAGUAUAAAGUUGAGUAUCAUCAGCAUAACAGUGAAAGCUAACUCCGUGUCGCUUUAUUAUAUCUCCUAGAGCAGUGGUUCCCAAACUUUUUACAAUGGCGUACCCCCCCCAGGGAUUUAACAUCGUUCUGCGUACCCCCUUUCUUACAGUCACAAUUGUGGUCUCAAACAUUCUUUUAUUUGCAUUCUAAAUACAUGUAAUUUUCUUUUAUCAAACAAUAAUUGAUAUAUGACUCAUAUAUAAAUAAAUUACUUACUGCUUAAUGAGAUGGAUGUGCUUGAAAUGACUUGCAUAACUCUGUGAUGUUUGGUUGUAUCGGAGAAAGUCUGAGUCUCAAAUCAUUCUCUAUGCAGAGUCUGUGUCGAUAUUUGUUCUUUAUGUGGGCAAGUGCUGAAAACCCACUCUCGCAAAGAUACGUUGUGGAGAAGGGCAGUAAUGUUUUCAAAGCGCGAUCGGCUAA